rnacentral:rRNA from 1 species
GACGAACGCUGGCGGCGUGCCUAAUACAUGCAAGUUGAGCGCUGAAGGUUGGUACUUGUACCGACUGGAUGAGCAGCGAACGGGUGAGUAACGCGUGGGGAAUCUGCCUUUGAGCGGGGGACAACAUUUGGAAACGAAUGCUAAUACCGCAUAAAAACUUUAAACACAAGUUUUAAGUUUGAAAGAUGCAAUUGCAUCACUCAAAGAUGAUCCCGCGUUGUAUUAGCUAGUUGGUGAGGUAAAGGCUCACCAAGGCGAUGAUACAUAGCCGACCUGAGAGGGUGAUCGGCCACAUUGGGACUGAGAAACGGCCCAAACUCCUACGGGAGGCAGCAGUAGGGAAUCUUCGGCAAUGGACGAAAGGCUGACCGAGCAACGCCGCGUGAGUGAAGAAGGUUUUCGGAUCGUAAAACUCUGUUGGUAGAGAAGAACGUUGGUGAGAGUGGAAAGCUCAUCAAGUGACGGUAACUACCCAGAAAGGGACGGCUAACUACGUG